AGGAUAAAAUGAUAAAGGUUGAUGCGAUGUGGCAACCCCUGAAAAAGGGACAAGCCGAAAGCAGAAGAAGAUAAUUUUGUAUUUGAAAUACGAAAUCCAAACAACACGCAUGAAACCUUGGGCUUAAGCUUAAUUAUAAUGAAAUAGCAUCUGAUGUUAUAUUUUAUUUUGUCAAUUAAAGAAAUUUGAGCUUAAGAAAUCAUUACAUUUUCACAAGUUGUAAUGCUUAACAUAAAACUAUUCAAGCUUUAUAUAACUUUCUUUUUUUUGUCAUGCAUUACCAAAAUGACAUUUUGUUAUGUAGAUCUUGGCCUUCGGGUGUCACUAGAUGGGAGUAGUGGUACAGAAAAGAGAUGAACAGUGUCAGUGGUAUGGUGACAUUGUAUGUGGUUUAAUAUAACGUGGAAUAAGUUUGAUGAUUCCUGUGUAUUUUUAUUUGUUGUCCUCUAUAGGAAAUAGUUAGGCAAAGAUAUCAUCAUCAUUUGCAAAGUAUAUAUCUUUUAAAAUGUGUGUAUGUUCAUGUUUGAAAAAGUUUAUUACUUUACCCAAAUACUAUUAUUAAUUUAAAUAAUACAUUUUGAAAUUAAAAUGAUCCUCAACUCCUUUUAAUCCACGUCACAUAUAUUACAUUAGAACAGCCCCACAGCACACAAACAAAAAAUGUCCCAAACAGUACAAGUAAUAACUUCUAUUUUUGAUUGACUCACAAUUUAUGCAGUGCAAUUGCACACGAUGGUGACGCACUUGCAGCAAUUGAAGAACGACAGUCUUGAAGGGCUCUCUGAACACCUACAGGUUUUGUGACAAUGUAUGGACAUUUGUCUUAAACGACGUGGAAUUCAGAGAGGUGACCGAUCUGGUGAAGGUUGACAAGGUGAAGAUCGUCGCCUGUGAUGGAAAGAACUCGGGCUCCAAUGCUGCAGAGUGAAUUCUCCACGUGCCUUUGUGUGUUGGAGACCUGGAUUGCACAUAUAAUUUAUUACAGCUGAGUCAGCAACGUGUGUUUGGAAGUGUGAGAAAGGGAAAGUGUGUGUAUGAAAAUGUUAAUAUGUUUGUAUUGUAGGUCGAUCAUUUAGGUUUGGUUUUACUUUAAGUUUGUUUUUCAUUUAAUGUCAAUUUUUCUGUUCCGAGUUGAUCUGAAACUUCUUUAAUAAAAACUUCCUUUAAAAAAAAAAAAGAAAGAAAA